UACGAAGGGGGCUAGCGUUGCUCGGAAUGACUGGGCGUAAAGGGCGUGUAGGCGGGACAGUAAGUCGGGGCGUGAAAAUCCCUGGGCUCAACCCCAGGAACUGCACUCGAAAACUACUAUUCUUGAGUGUCGGGAGAGGAAAAGCGGAAAUUCUGGUGUAGCGGUGAAAAUGCGCAGAUAUCAGGGAGGGAAACACCCGGGUGGGCGA
rnacentral:rRNA from 1 species